AAGAUUCACUUUCUUGUACUUCAAGGUCUUUUGCAAAUUUUUUUUGAAACUUAUCUCUUUUUAAUUAAUAGUUGAUAUUCUUUAUUAUCAUCAUCUUCAAUGUCUUGAUUGUCUUCAUUGCUGAUUCUAGCAAUUAUAGACAUACUUUGAUCUAUCUUCUUUGGCACUUCAUCUUUAUUCAUACUUCUACUAUCUUUAUUGUCAUUAUCUUUUUUU
rnacentral:lncRNA from 1 species